UACACAAAGGGGCGUGCCAACAUGUGUUAGCACGUCGCGUUAGUAGUAUGGUGAACUUAAGACUGUUCAGUUUGUUUUGCAGGCGUCCCACGAUAUCGGUUGUAAGAAGUUCUAUGAUUGUGCCCCUGGCAGCUCCUCUCCUCGUUUCUCCAAUAACUCCUAUGGCAUGCAUGCCACAAAACUCUGACCUUGUUGGUGAAUAGGAAAGACGUUUACUCCAGUGAUAACGUAUGAUCUAGGAGAAGGAGCCAGCAAUUGCAAGGGAUCUAUCCAUGGGCAGACAGAAAUUGGACAGGGGCAUGGGCAUGUGACGAAGCUGAGACUUUUGCCUAUGACUGAGGAGGACAACCAGAAAGCCUGCAGUGAGGUCUUGCAGGGAGAUGACUGAGAAGCCGAAGCACCCUUUCUGUUUAUUUUUGAAUACAGAGAGGAUAUGUAAGCUUGUCUUGAUGAGCAGAAGCUCCAGGUCAACACCAUGUUCACUGUUCUGUACAUGCCCUUCUCCCCAUAGUGUCUGAGGUACAGACACUUGGCUUCAGUGCCCCUCACUACACACUGCCUGAGCUUUUGUUUCAAACUGUCCUCUAUAUCAUGAUAAACAACUGAAGAAAUAAUAUUAAUCUGCUCAAUUUAUUUACUGUUUUACUCAAGGAUUUGUUGUUUCCAUGUGAUUUUAAGUAGACAUUGUGUUGGUGAGGUCAAUAUAUGAAUAUCAUUAUGGGAAAUAUUGAGGGUAACUUUAAAUACAGUGGGUCCACUUGAAAUUUGUUGAGAGUGGAAAAAUACUUAAUAUAAAAUAGUGGUCACAUCCUGUCACGCAACAUGAAAGUAAAGCUGGGUCUGAUUAACACUGGGAGUUGUAUGUGAAGAUGUAGCCUGCACUGUAUAAGACAGAAGUUGAAUUAAAGUGUUUGUUUGAUUUA